GCCCCCGAACCCCCCGCCGCCGCCUCCUCCUCCACCACCGCCGCCUCCUCCGGCGGCACCGCCAGCGGAACCCGAGCUGGGCCCCGCGCCUCCACCGUGCUUCUGAGGAGCCAUGGGCCUCACCCCAGAGCGGGCCCCGGCAGGCCGGAGACCGAGGGAGGGGGGCGGCUGGGGCGGGCGGGGUAAGGAGGGGGGAGGGGAAGCACCGAGCUCCAACUCCUCUAAGUCUCCUCCGCUCCGUUCUCCUCAGCUCUACGUGCGACCAGCCGAACCCGACGCCGACACCGCUCCCGCCUCCCCCGCAUGCCCAUUGGCUCCGCGGAUGGCGCCGUCCCGACGGAUUGGCCGAAGGUAGUCCCGCCCCUGCGUGAGCAGAGAUGGUUCUGGAAGAGUUUGGUUGGUCGGUGCGCUUCGCCGCUCGGCGCUUUCCCCCUCCCCCUCCUUUGAACUGAAUUCGCGGGAAAGAGCCGCUCGUUCCCCCUCGCUCUCCGAACCGCGGGGCAUGGCUCCCGCUGCCUACAUGAGAGGUUCUGCUGCUUCUGGUGACUCACCCUUCUAAGUAGGAAGCCAGGAGGUGGAGCCAGAGGGCUACUUUCCAAGCAGGGAGAAGGAGGACAAUUGGGGAAUUAAUCUCUGACAGUGGAGUCAGACAGGCCUCUGAAUGGAGAAACUGAGGCUGACAUCCCAGCCUGGUGUCUCAAGGCGUUGCGGGCAUGGGACCAGAGAGAGGACAGGUCUCCCCCCUCUCUCCCAAACUCAGCCUCCAGGGAGCCGCUGAG